rnacentral:rRNA from 1 species
UACGGAGGGUGCAAGCGUUAAUCGGAAUUACUGGGCGUAAAGCGCACGUAGGUGGUUUGCUAAGCCAGCUGUGAAAUCCCCGGGCUCAACCUGGGCACUGCAGUUGGAACUGGCAAGCUAGAGUAGGGUAGAGGGGUGUGGAAUUCCAGGUGUAGCGGUGAAAUGCGUAGAUAUCUGGAGGGACAUCAGUGGCGAAGGCGACACCCUGGACUCAUACUGACACUGAGGUGCGAAAGCGUGGGGAGCAAACAGG